AACGAACGCUGGCGGCAGGCUUAACACAUGCAAGUCGAGCGCCCCGCAAGGGGAGCGGCAGACGGGUGAGUAACACGUGGGAAUCUACCCAUCCCUGCGGAACAACUCCGGGAAACUGGAGCUAAUACCGCAUACGCCCUUAGGGGGAAAGAUUUAUCGGGGAUGGAUGAGCCCGCGUUGGAUUAGCUAGUUGGUGGGGU
rnacentral:rRNA from 1 species